AGCAGUUCUCUUGCCUCAGCCUCCCAAGUAACUGGUACUACAGUUUGUCCUCGGCUGUUACAGAGAAUUGAUACAAAAAAUGAUCAUGUGAAGAAUUUGCAUCUUCUGCAGAACUACCGGUAUCAGUCAGCAGUAGGAGAUUGUAUAAAUUCAGCCUGAGAUUCCAGAAUAUUCUGUGUAUUGACCACCACAGCAAGAAGAAAAAGUCCAUGUAGGACUGAAAUGGUCCUGUAGUUUUCACAGCACUUUCCCAAGCACUGUCUUAUGGUUUCUGCACAUCAACCCAGGAAAGCAGACAAAGAUGAGAUGAUGAAUCCUGCCUAACCAAUGAGGAAUCAGAGGCUAAGAGAUUCUAGCGCCUUACUCAUGCCACAGGGCUGGACCUCUUCCUAUGACAGCUUCUGUC
rnacentral:lncRNA from 1 species